rnacentral:rRNA from 1 species
UACGGUAGGGGGCAAGCGUUGUCCGGAAUCAUUGGGCGUAAAGCGCGUGUAGGCGGUCCGGUAAGUCCGCUGUGAAAGUCAAGGGCUCAACCCUUGGAUGCCGGUGGAUACUGCAGGGCUAGAGUCCGGAAGAGGCGAGUGGAAUUCCUGGUGUAGCGGUGAAAUGCGCAGAUAUCAGGAGGAACACCGAUGGCGAAGGCAGGUCUCUGGGCCAUAACUGACGCUGAGAAGCGAAAGCAUGGGGAGCGAACAGG